UUGACGGGGACCCGCACAAGUGGUGGAGCAUGUUGCUUAAUUCGACGGUACACGAAAAACCUUACCUAGACUUGACAUCUUGGGCGAAGCUAUAGAAAUAUAGUGGAGGUCAACCCAAUGACAGGUGGUGCAUGGUUGUCGUCAGCUCGUGUCGUGAGAUGUUGGGUUAAGUCCCGCAACGAGCGCAACCCUUAUCGUUAGUUACUUUGUCUAACGAGACUGCCAACGUAAGUUGGAGGAAGGUGGGGAUGACGUCAAAUCAUCAUGCCCCUUAUGUCUAGGGCUGCAAACGUGCUACAAUGGCCAAUACAAACAGUUGCAAAUCCGUAAGGUGGAGCUAAUCUGUAAAGUUGGUCUCGUUCGGAUUGAGGGCUCAAUUCGCCCUCAUGAAGUCGGAAUCACUAGUAAUCGCGA
rnacentral:rRNA from 1 species